UUAAAUUAGAGAUUAGAUCUGCUUACAGCGCGUCAUUUACAGUAUGUGUUUCAGAAAAGUGAGUGAUUAUAAAUACACUGACCAAUUCAUAGGUGAUUUAUCAAUUCAUACAUGCAGCAUUUCCAUGAUUUGGUGGAAUUGAGAUCAUAUCAUAAGUAAACCGCGGAGUUUGUGUAAACUGUGCAUCCGACCACCGUUUUUCAGGUCGACUUGGGUAAGGUUUGCAGGUGCUCCGUCUGUGCACAAACUUCCAUUUUGUGUUUUUUCAAGGUUCAAACAUGGUAAAAUUGGCUUUAAUCUGUUCUGCGACCUGCACCAUUUAACAAACUAAAUCAAAAGCCACACCGCUAGGCUAUUUACAAAACAAAUAUAUAUCGAAAUAUGUAUCGGCUAUACAUCGAAAACACACAUUAUUUUACACAACUAUGAAAAUUUUAACACGUUUGUGAUAAUUAUUUCACCAAUGAUGCAGCUUGUAGAAACUCCUGAGUUUGCAGUAACUGAAAAGCACUUCACUAGUGCGUAUCUGCUCGAGAGCUCCACAGUUUUUUUCAAUCUUAGCAUCUGAUGACAUGAUGCACUAAACAUACUAAUAAUAACAGUGUGAUCAUACAGUACAGGGAACAACCAAUGCUGAUCACAUCUGUGUUAUCAUACGCAUCAAAGGGUAAAAGGGCGUUAUAUUUUUUUUUAUAUAUAUAGAUAUAUAUAUACAUUUUUUUUUUUAAAUAUAUAUAAUAUAUUUUUAAUUAUUAUUCUGUGAUUCCUCCGUGCACCUCUAGAAGAAAGCCUGCGUACCACAAUUUGAGAACCACUGGUAUAGAUAGAUAGUUAGGCCUUGUCUGUGUCAGGUUUUUCCUUUUUCAGCUAAUGGAGGGCAGGCAGAAGAGGGAGACUCAAAAGAGCAUCGGUGGACAUUUAUCUAGAAAAUGCUGGAGAACAGCAGGUAGGGCUCUGUCAGUACUGUCUAUGGGUGCGUUCCAAAUCACAUACUUGUACACUAUUCUAUGCCAUUUUGUAGUGUAAAUGGUGUAAGUAGUGUGUUCACACUGAAAUAUUCUUUUUUUUCGGCUUUUUUGCCUUUAUUUGAUAGGACAGUAAUGAGACAGGAAACGAAGUGGGAGAGAGAGAAGGGUGUAGGGUUGGGAAUUGUCUUUGAGCUGGGUUUCGAACUCGGGACGCCCUAUUGUGCUACUGCAGCAUAUGUCAGCGCAUUGACCACAAGGCUAUUGCGCUGACAAUAUUCUUUUAUUUUAAAAAGAUUAAGUUCACUUUAAAUUCACGGAUGAUGCUCUUAUUUAACCGUUUAAAAGAAGUGUGGACUGUGCACUUGAGGCUGUCUUUGUUUGUUUGCAGAUUGGAGUGGAGCAGAAGAAGGAGACUCACAAGCGGAAUGGUGGAGAUAUACUGCAAGACCUGGAGCUCAGGAAGCAGGUUGGCAUGGAGCAUGUGGAGGAACAGGGAAACGCACCUUAGUGUUUCUUUUUCCUGUAAUGGACACACAACAGACAGAAGAAGGAGACUCACAAGAGCAUCGGUGGAGAUUUGUCUGAAAACCGCUGGUUAACAGUUUAUGCAUUUCUGGAGUUCAGCAAGCAUGUAGAGCUCUGUUAGUUGUGUCUUUAUCUUUUCCAGGCUGGAGUGCAGCAUGUGGAGACAAAUAGGAAUCACACACCUCAGCAAUGGACACUAAUGGUCAGGAAUAUCCUUUAAAGGUAGAUGAAUAGGUGCAUGGAUGGAUGUCCUUCCAAGUGGAAGGGGGUGGUGGUGGGCAUAGAUUGUUAGAUAUAUGUAUUGUCUGUGGCUAUUAUUUACAACUUCAACAGACAGAAGAGUCAGACUCACAAGCAAAAUGGUGAAUAUUUAUCUGAGGAACACUGGAGAACGUUUGGUUUAUUGAUGCAGAUCAUCCAGCAAGUAGAGCUUUGUUAGUCUUGUUUUUG